UCGGGUGGGCACUCUAAAGUGACUGCCGGUGACAAACCGGAGGAAGGUGGGGAUGACGUCAAAUCAUCAUGCCCCUUAUGACCUGGGCUACACACGUACUACAAUGGCCAGUACAACGGGAAGCGAAACCGCGAGGUGGAGCCAAUCCUAUCAAAGCUGGUCUCAGUUCGGAUUGCAGGCUGCAACUCGCCUGCAUGAAGUCGGAAUUGCUAGUAAUCGCGGAUCAGCAUGCCGCGGUGAAUACGUUCCCGGGUCUUGUACACACCGCCCGUCACACCACGAGAGUUUACAACACCCGAAGUCGGUGGGGUAACCCGCAAGGGAGCCAGCCGCCGAAGGUGGGGUAGAUGAUUGGGGUGAAGUCGUAACAAGGUAGCCGUAUCGGAAGGUGCGGCUGGAUCACCUCCUUU
rnacentral:rRNA from 1 species